AGAGUUGAUCCUGGCUCAGGAUGAACGCUGGCGGUCUGCUUAACACAUGCAAGUCGAACGGAAUCCUUCGGGAUUUAGUGGCGGACGGGUGAGUAACGCGUGAGAAUCUGCCUUCAGGUUCGGGACAACAGCUGGAAACGGCUGCUAAUACCGGAUGUGCCGAGAGGUGAAAGCUUAAGUGCCUGGAGAUGAGCUCGCGUCUGAUUAGCUAGUAGGAGUGGUAACGGCACCCCUAGGCGACGAUCAGUAGCUGGUCUGAGAGGAUGAUCAGCCACACUGGGACUGAGACACGGCCCAGACUCCUACGGGAGGCAGCAGUGGGGAAUUUUCCGCAAUGGGCGCAAGCCUGACGGAGCAAGACCGCGUGAGGGAAGAAGGUCUGUGGAUUGUAAACCUCUUUUGAUAGGGAAGAAGACAGUGACGGUACCUAUCGAAUCAGCCUCGGCUAACUCCGUGCCAGCAGCCGCGGUAAUACGGAGGAGGCAAGCGUUAUCCGGAAUUAUUGGGCGUAAAGAGUCCGUAGGUGGGUAACCAAGUCAGCUGUUAAAUAGUGAAGCUUAACUUCAUAGAGGCGGCUGAAACUGGUUGUCUAGAGUGUGGUAGGGGUAGAGGGAAUUUCCAGUGUAGCGGUGAAAUGCGUAGAUAUUGGAAAGAACACCGGUGGCGAAAGCGCUCUACUGGGCCUGCACUGACACUGAGGGACGAAAGCUAGGGGAGCGAAAGGGAUUAGAUACCCCUGUAGUC
rnacentral:rRNA from 1 species